GGACCAAUGAUGAUUACUGGUGGUUUGAAUCAUGGAUGAUAAAUAACAUGUGUCAGAAACUCUGAGGUCCAGCAAAAAAAAAUCUAAGUCAGUCUCUCUGUAGGGAUCCUGUAGGUAGAAGUCAGGGAUAUACAAAGAUCUUGUUUAUUUCUUGUGUUCUUUCAUGAAUUUUCACUUCAUUAUUAUAGUCGGAGCAGGGAAAUAAAUAAUCAAAUAAGUAAAUAAAAGAAAUGGAGUGUGUGAAUAUCUCAUAUAAAAAUUUGUAUUCACACAAGAAAUGCUGUAAAAAUUGAGAAAACACUUAAAACCAAAGAGAAAGAAAGAGUACAUGACUUAAAUCUUUGGCUAAUUUAAUACAGACAAUAGUAAGUAAUAGUCGUGGCUCACCUUCUGUGUCAGGGAUAAGUUUUAAGUUCAUUUUCUUAAGAGAAAAUGAAGCAUACUCCAAAUAAAAGAUUGUCUAAAUCACUGAAAAGUGAAAUGCGCAAGUAAGGACCAAUGACAAUUAGGUCUCGAUUCGUGGACAUCGCCUCUGCCCUGUACGUCACGGAAUGGGCGCCUUGAGAUGAUUUAAGUUUCCUCCAAGAUCAAGAGCCCUCUGGUUGCAUCUUUGUGUUAGAAUCAUGGAGAACAAUGGAAUCGUCAGUGUCCUUGUGUGGGACGGAGCCAUGUUUUUAGAUAAGGUAUUACUGUAUUAUUAAAAAUAUUAAGUAUAAUCAAAGAAGUCCAAACACACCACUGUCAGUGACCAUGGAUGGAAAAGAAUGUGAUGCUAUAUCCGUAUAUGAUACACUGAAUUCAGUUAAUGAAAGGGCUGGGUCUCCGCGGAGGUGACUUUAUAGACUGAUGUUAGGAUUAUUCAAAGGACUUACAGUUUUUUUGUGAUUGAUGUUUAUUUAAGUAAUUGUGAAUUAAUCAAAACAAAAAUGUCCAUGAACGAGAAAAGAGCCAGUGUGCUUCUGUGGGAAAUGAUGCCCAAGAUCAAAGUUAGGAAGAGACAAACGUCAGAUUCCCAUUUGGAGUUUAUAAAUGUAAAUGUAUAAUUAAUAAUACAUAGAAGAACAAUAGUAAAAUAAAACAACCAUAUAAAAGAAGCUGAAGGAUUGUCGUAUGAAACAUGUGGUAGGACAAGAAACACUAUUUUUUUUUUCUUUUUUUGGCUUUUGCCAUUUCUUGGGAUGCUCCCGCAGCAUAUGAAUGUUCCCAGGCUAGGGGUCUGACUGGAGCUGUAGCUGCUGGCCUACGCCAGAGUCCACAGCAAUGCAGGAUCUGAGCCCCGUCCGCAAGCUACACCAUAGCUCAGGGCAACGCAGAUCCUUAACCCACUGAGCAAGGCCAGGGAUCGAACCCGCAACCUCAUGGUUCCUAGUCGGAUUCGUUAACCACUGAGCCACGACGGGAACUCCAAGAAGUACUAUUAAUAAAACUGUAAAUGUUUGUUAUAAUUAAGCAGUAAAUGAGUAGGCAUUUUGCAUGUUCGUGGAAAGGAUCCUACAGAUACUGACGAAUGAGAGUCAACAUUUUUGUGUGGUAUCAGUCUCUUUUAAAGGGUUUGUGUAUAAGAGGAAAACUACCAUAUUAACAAACUAUUAUGUUUAGAAUGGAUAAGCAGAGAGGUCCUGCUGUACAGCACAGUGAACAGUAUCCCAACUCUCGAGGUAGAAAAUGAUGGAAGACCGUAGGAAAAAAUAAUGUGUAUCAGUAUAUGACUAUGCUGCACAGCAGAAAUGGGCACAGCAAUGUAAAUCAACUAUACGUAAAAAUUGUUAUGAAAAUAAAAAUUUAAUGAGUGCAUAAAAAAGGAAACGUCCAUUAAAAGAAAUACGGAGAUUAAGUGAGAAUUUCUUAAAUUAUUUCAUAUGAAAAUUUAAAAACUUGCCUUGGGGUGCCUGGGAAAGGGAAUUCCAUGUUUAAAAAAAUAGAAAAGGAAACGAAAGGGAGAGGGAGUAAAGGCAAGACCAAAUUGCACAGUCCAUGGUGACAGGUAUCAUGAGACGCUUCCCAUCCCACGGACCCCUGGAAGUUCAGGUAGGGUAUUGAUAUCUUACCCAGCCCUUUAAUAAAUUGAUCAACAAAGAAGGUCAAGCUAAGGGAACACAGGAGGGACAGUAUAGGAUUGAAGAUGACUCCUGGUGGCAUAUGCGUCCUGUACGAUGAAAACCUGUCUGAAACUCCGAGGUCCACUGAAGGAGGAAUCUGGUUCAAUGUCCACAAAGCAGUGACCCAAUAGGCCGAGGUCAGGAAACGACGAGGGUGACUGACAGAGCACGGGCAUUCCAGCGUUUUCCUGGUGUUAGCCCAAUGGGAAAAUGUGAGCACCCGUCCGGCAGUAUCAGAGAACUGAAUCUAGAGAGAAAGGGAGUGAAGGCAUUUGCCAGGUCCUUGGUGACCCCCAUGGUAUGCCGCAUGCCAGGCUAUGGCCAGGUGUGUGUGUGGAAGCCGCGAGCCUGGAGAAUGGCUGUGCCAUUGGGUCUCCUGCUCUUGGCUUUGUACUCCUCAGUGUGCAGCCGCCGGACCCGAAGGCAGGCUCCUUCCUGGAUGAGCAGGCGAGGAUGGCAGCGUUGUCUCUGGAUCCAGAAGGCCAGUGGUGGAAGCCGAAGGCCAGGCCAGGCUCCAUGGGGCUGAGACCCCUCCUCUGGCGGUGGUGGCAGGAGAGAUCCCAAGGAGUGGAGCCAUUCCCUGGGGAAGCCCCUGAAAGUGCAACAGUGGGUGUGACAGAGGAGCAGCAAUGGGCUGGAGACCUUCAGGGGCCAGGGACCUCCGUCGUCAAUGUUUGGGUCCCGGCCGGGAUGGACUUGGGUGAUGGAGAAGCCUGGUCCAGUGACUCUUCAGUGGGAAGACCGGGGCGCAGGGAAGAAGGUGUCACGAGACCGGCCUGGUGGAUGCAGCUUCGCGUCUGUGUGGUGGGGUGCACACCAGACCCCGGCGAGCCGAUUGGGCCCGUUUCCCUGGUGAGACCCCUAGACGAUUCCUUCAGUGGGGGAGAUGGCCAAGGAAGCAGUGUGGGUAAGAGUCCGGUCUGUGCCUUUGGGUUGGGCGAGUUGGGCGCUGUGUGGGUGUCGGGAAGGUCUUCUGGGAAGGAGCCGGCGUUGAGGUUGUGAAGGGUCCAGAGGGUGUGGACGUCUUGGCGGCACUUUGGUGAAUGGGUCGACCCAGAGGGUGGCCCUCAGGGAAGACGGAGGGGGGCAGUAUUGGAUCGAUGAUGACUACUGGUGGCGUAUGAGUCGUGUACGAUGAAUACGUGUCUGGAACGCUGAGGUCCAAUGUCCUCCGUGCCGUGACCCUCGCGGGCGAGGCCAGGCAUCCAGGGGGGCCGUCCGUGUGUCCUCUGGGGGGCCUUCCUGGUGCUUGCGUUCGCCCAGUGGGCCAGUGGGAGCCCCUGUGGACCAGCCUGCCAGAACUGAAGGAGGAGAGCGAGGGAGGGCCGGCAUUCCCAAGGCGCCAGGUCCCUGGUGACCCCACCCCCCAUGGUCUGCCUCUUGCCAUGCCAUGGGCUGCAGGUUGGCCAGAGGUCUUGGGCUGAU
rnacentral:lncRNA from 1 species